rnacentral:rRNA from 1 species
GAUGAACGCUAGCGGCAGGCUUAACACAUGCAAGUCGAGGGGUAUAGGUUUUCGGACCUAGAGACCGGCGCACGGGUGCGUACGCGGAUGCAAACUUCCUUUUACAGAGGGAUAGCCCAGGGAAAUUUGGAUUAAUACCUCCAAGUAUUAUGAUUCGGCAUCGAGACAUUAUUAAAGUUCCAAAGGUUAAAGAUGAGCAUGCGUUCCAUUAGCUAGAUGGUAAGGUAACGGCUUACCAUGGCGACGAUGGGUAGGGGUUCUGAGAGGGAGAUCCCCCACACUGGUACUGAGACACGGACCAGACUCCUACGGGAGGCAGCAGUGAGGAAUAUUGGUCAAUGGGCGCAAGCCUGAACCAGCCAUGCCGCGUGCAGGAUGACGGUCCUAUGGAUUGUAAACUGCUUUUGUACAGGAAGAAACACUGGUUCGUGAACCAGCUUGACGGUACUGUAAGAAUAAGGAUCGGCUAACUCCGUGCCAGCAGCCGCGGUAA